CUCCCAUGGAGCUUUGGAAGGAACUUUUCUUUGCCAGGCCUAUAGACAUUCAUUGUCAGGGCUGCCAUGAGCUAGGAAGCCUUGUUUGCCUGCGUCUGACAGGA
rnacentral:snoRNA from 1 species